GACGAACGCUGGCGGCGUGCUUAACACAUGCAAGUCGAACGGAAAGGCCCUGCUUUUGUGGGGUGCUCGAGUGGCGAACGGGUGAGUAACACGUGAGUAACCUGCCCUUGACUUUGGGAUAACUUCAGGAAACUGGGGCUAAUACCGGAUAGGAGCUCCUGCUGCAUGGUGGGGGUUGGAAAGUUUCGGCGGUUGGGGAUGGACUCGCGGCUUAUCAGCUUGUUGGUGGGGUAGUGGCUUACCAAGGCUUUGACGGGUAGCCGGCCUGAGAGGGUGACCGGCGACAAUGGGACUGAGAUACGGCGCAGACUCCAACGGGAGGCAGCAGUGGGGAAUAUUGCACAAUGGGCGGAAGCCUGAUGAAGAAACGCCGCGUGCGGGAUGACGGCCUUCGGGUUGUAAACCGCUUUCGCAUGUGACGAAGCGGGAGUGACGGUAAUGGGUAAAGAAGCACCGGCUAACUACGUG
rnacentral:rRNA from 1 species